rnacentral:lncRNA from 1 species
ACAUUUGACCCAAGUUGUUCGGACUAAGGUUAAUUCAUGUUCCCUAUUAUAGCCCAUUAACCCUGGUCAUGACUGCAUAAGACAUACCUUCUUGGAUUCUGGAAGCCAUUUUAUAUGAAAGUCCCUUUCUAAUGACCUCAAAACAAAAGUGGGUAGAAGAGUAGAGUCUUUCAGAACUGGAUGUCCCAAACAAGAAUUAAGGUAAUAAGUCAGUACACCACCCACUAGGAAAAGACAGGUGAAGGAGGCAAGGGAGGUGGGAUGGAAGAGGUGGAAAUCAAACAUUUUAGUAUCUUCUGUGUAGUAGACGCUGAGCUAAACAUCAGAACUCUAGGUUGGGACCAGAUGAGCUGAGAGUUCUUCAAGAGUGUUUGGAUUAGAAGGAUCCCAACAAUCACCUCUUAUUUUGCUUAAAUCAAGGAAUCGUUACUGUCAUUUUUUUAACUCAAUGAAUUGUGUUGUAUUUAUGGUCAUGUAACCAUCAUCACAACCCAGUUUUGCAAUAUUUCCAUCCCAAACCACCAGCCCAUCCCUCCCACCCCCCACAUCCUGUCUUCUUUGGUAACUGUAAGUUUUUCAGAGUCUGCGAGUCAGUUCUAUUCUGCAAAGAAGUUCAUUGUAUCCUUAUUUUAGGUUCCACAUGUCAGUGAUAGCAUAUCCUUACUCUGUCUCUUCAAAUGAGUAUGUCCUUAUGCCACAAAUAUUUGGAGAGAUUUAGGGUUAUGCCCAAGCCCUGACAGCUGAUAAGAACCCAACCCAGGUCUCUUUGACUCUGCCUUACACCAAGCUGCCCACCUCUAACUUCUGUCCAUGGGCACUUUUCCAAGAAGAAAUCCAGGAUAUACAACUGAGUUCUGUAGGGACUUGGGGAUUCUGAAAGCUGAGCAGUAAGAUGGGAAAGAAAUGGAGGUAGGGAGUGGGGCACAGAGGUUGGUGGCAAUAAAAUGAACAUUACAGUGGCCCCCUGACUAUGGGUUUUUAUCCAUAGGAAGAUGACUAUAAAUCCUGAAUUACAAAAAUAGCAAGGCAACAACAGUUGAUGACUGUCCCAUAGUAUGCAUAUGAGGAGACGACAUUUUAUUUUUAUUUAUUUAUUCUUUAUUUCUGAUGUUUGAAUGACAGGGUGUUUUCAGAACUACUUAAAAUACCCUAAAGGAAUUCAAAAGUGAUGAAUUAUGGCAGAAGCAAAAAUAACAUUAUUUUCAGUUGACUUUUACAAAUUAUCUGUGUCCUCAUUUUUAAAGCAGAGGAUGUUUAAAAGGUGUUUUUCUUUAUGUCAUUAAUUCUAGACAUCUUGGUGAUUAAAAUGAAUUUAGUUUUGUCAGGUGUGUGUCGUAGGAUAAAUGCUAUAAAAGAACAAUUAAACUCUGUGUGAAGUGUAAGCAUCUAUGACAUAUGAGAAAAUAGAUUCUAAAAUAAAAUUACUUUAUGUAGAUGAAGUGUCUUUUAUAAUUACUUAUAAUUUAAAAGAAAUAUCUAUUAUAUCUUUCAUCUUCAUGACCUGGAUUGGAAUCUUUGCUCUGCUAUUUACUCCUAUGCGGCCUGAGUCGUCGCUUACUCUCUUUGAGUCUUGGUUUCCUCCUUUGUGGACUCAAUUUAAAAUCUGCUGCCUUGUCUUACUGUGAUGAGUAAAUGAAAUAAUACCUGUAAUGUAUUUAGCACGUAUUAACGUGCAGUCUGACAUCAGAAACAGAGAAAGUGAAAGAAAAACAUUAUGAAUUUAGAAGUUAGGACUAGAUGGCUAUGUCUCACUAUUUGGAUCUUUGCCAUCAUGGUUUUAUAUCAUCUAUUUAGCAAAUUACACGAAAAGACUCUUCUCAAGCAUUGUUACAUAUUUGUUCAUAAAGCUGGCUGAAUCCCCUGACACAUUUCGAGUAAUUAAGAGUUUCAAGCGAAAUAUGUUUAAUGUUAUACUGAUGCAUGUUUCUUUGAUGAUAGGCAUUAAAUGGAAUAACGAAUUGAAUUGAAUAAUUGAAUUGUCAAAGCCAUUCUGUGGGAGAAAUUAGUGGUACAAAAGUAAUUUGUGUUUCUAUCAAAGGACAUUGCGACUAACCAUAUUGGUUUUCAUGGUGGAAAACAAGUAUCUCAAACUUCUGAACCAACUAGUUGUAACAGAAUCCAUGUGUGCUUGAUUAAUUUGUGCUUUAAAUUAUCAUAGAACUACUUUAAAAAAGGAAAACUGUGAAAAAUAUGUGCUAGUGACUUACAUUUUUGAGCAGAGUGGUUUGAAUAGUCACUCUUCAGAAAUGAUUUUGGAUAAAUACAUUUUCUAAGCCUUGGCUUCUUUAUCAUUAAAAUGGAGAGAAUAACAACACAACUCAGGGAAUUGUUGUGAUAAUUAAUUGAGAUAAUACAUAAAAAUCAUCAGGCACAUUACAUAUGUAUAAGCAUUAGAGAUAUAUUGUCUUUCAAAUCCAUGUAAUUAUACUGGAAAGACUAUACUGAGGCAAUUUUUUUUUUUUUCCUAACUAAAUUUGUUUUUAAAUAAGUAGAUAGUCAUUGCCUGAUUGUGUUUUAUAAAUCUGAGUAAUUAGAGCUGAAUUUGAUUAAAACCAAGUUCACCAGCAUUAAAUUGUUUUGUAUUCAAAAUGUGCCUAUACUUAGGAAGAGAUUGGGAUACCAGUUAGGCUAGCAACGAAGAGAUUUUUUUCCAUAAGAUGUUGGCUUGUCCUAUUAGAUUCUUCAUGAUUAUACUGCCUCAGGGAAUCUCGCUGUACUCACACAAUUGCAGAAAACAUUGCCGUGUUCCAUUCUAGCAGUGGUCCCUUAAGAUUUUUGAAACAGAACCUAAUAACUGAUUAGGUUUCCUAUAUCUUUCCUGCUGUUCCUGUGAUGCUUUUGUUUGCCCUAUAAACAGUCAGCGGUAAGAAAAAUGUUUUCAUUUCUCCUGUUGCCCAGGCUAAAAAUUUGGCAGUUAAUCUCAAAUCUUGUAUUUCUCUUACCCACAAAGUCAAUUCAGGUACCUAGGUUUGCUGAAUGAAUCUCCUUAAUAUUCUGAAUUCUCCUUCCCUCCUAUUGAGCUACAUAGACAUUGACCCAGUUUAUACUUUCACUUUCUCUUACCUGAACUAAGGUUACCUUUUUGACUAACCUACCUCAAAUCUCAUCUCUCUCCUCCAUGCUGUAACACUAAAAUAGAAAUCUGGUAAUAUUACUUUUUUGAUUAACAACCUUCACAUUGAGUG